rnacentral:rRNA from 1 species
UACGUAGGGGGCGAGCGUUGUUCGGAUUUACUGGGCGUAAAGCGCGCGUAGGCGGGUUCGCAAGUCCGAUGUGAAAGCCCCGGGCUCAACCCGGGAUCCGCGUCGGAAACUGCGAGGCUUGAGUGCAGGAGAGGAGAGCGGAAUUCCCAGUGUAGCGGUGAAAUGCGUAGAUACUGGGAGGAACACCGGUGGCGAAGGCGGCUCUCUGGACUGUUACUGACGCUGAGGCGCGAAAGCUAGGGGAGCAAACGGGAUUAGAUACCCCGGUAGUCCUAGCCGUAAACGUUGGGCACUAGGUGUGGGAGGUAUCGACCCCUUCCGUGCCGCAGCUAACGCAUUAAGUGCCCCGCCUGGGGAGUACGGCCGCAAGGUUGAA